GCUGCGGUGAGGGAAAUUGUUUGGGCCGAGGCUUACUCUGAUGGGCCUGGCGCACGCAUUCGGGUAGAGGAAUCCACGAACAAGAGCUCAGCAAGAGAGAAUUUUUCCAUCGGGUCAACCAUUUCUAGAAGCGUCUCCAUCUUCACCCCCUCUCCGUCGCCUCGGUCCCCCCGGCAGCCACCGCCGCUCGUCCUCCAUCGCCGGCCACGACAACACUCAAUGCACUCAACACAGAUCACACAGGGUGGGGAGGCUCAAAGAUUUCUAAACGGCCAGAGAAUUAUCUCUCUUGGCUCCUUGCUUCGUCUGGUGACCUCCAACUGACCUCCCGGAUCGCUCCACCACCAGGCCGUAGCUCUGUCAGCACCGUUCUCCGGUCCACUGGGCGGAGUCUAUGUCAGUGGUUGAUCGUCUAAGCCCCAUAUGCAACAUUCAUGUGAGACUCACUUGAACAACUAUUGAAAUGGACCCAAUCUAAGCGAGUGCAAGCACCACCUUGUGGAAGCUAUGCUUUGGCUGAUGGCAUAAGACAUGAAAAUUCUUUAAUCUCCGCCUUCUUUGCGCUUUUGCACUUUGGAUUUAGGUUGUGCCCUAGACAUACUUUUAGUUAUGUUAAUGGGGGAUUAGUUCUUAAGGAGAUACGGAAAUACUCUCCCAAUUCGAUGCUUCCAAAGGUCAAAGUAGUUCAACCUGGGCAACUAGAAAAGAGUAACAACAAGGUCAGAAUGUUAUGGAGCAUUACCCCAUUGGUCAUUUUCAUCUCAACCUUUUAAAAUGUGGAGACAACUCCCUUGUUCAGGUGAUAAUACUCGAUAAAGGUGCUCCCGAGAUAGAUUAUUCCUCAGGAUCACUGCCUCGGAUGACCUCUUCCUCUGAUCCGUUUGUCCUUCGUGCAUUGGUAAAAUAAACACUAUAAUCUUCCUUUUCGUUCUUAGCCUCAUGAAGAGAGACUUCAGGCAUUUUUAUGUGAUUUUUGUUGUCAAGUUUACUGUUGGCGUGUCUAUAUGUGUGCCAUAAGUUCUUUGUAUGAUCAUCACCGGAAGUGCUCACCAUGAAGUGUUCAUAUUAACAAUCUGAAUCACAAAUCAACAUUCACUGCAAUGCGUGUUUGUCUGUUAGAUGGUUGAUACUUGUUUAGUUCUUCCCGUCAAAAGUCUUGCAAAGAUGAUUCCAUCUUCAUCUAUGUUACUUUGAGAUCGCUGUGUAGGUUGCUCUCUUUGGCAGUUUCUGGAUUAAUGUUUUAUAAAUUGUACAAUCUGUGCCACUGGGAGGUGAAAGAAAUCCUCAGUAUUAUCUCCCACACGCUUAAAAUUUAUUCUCAUGUUAUCUACAUUGGAUCAUCUGAUCAUUGAGAUUAAUAUGAUUUCUUUUGUGUUUGAUGAAUCCAAGUAACAAUCCAAGGGGAAUGUGAAUUUGGUGGCUAGGCAGGUUCCUCUGUGAAACGUUGGCCUCAGUUGUUCUGAAUGAGGGAAUAUGAUUGCUUGCAUUGUUAGCUUAAUAAGGAAGAGAGUGAUGCAGGCUACAUUUUGUAGUGUAAAAGACACAAGCAACAAUUGCUGAAUUUCUAUUCUGCAGGAAAUGGAAGCGAAUUAGCAUAACAAAUGUGCUUUUGAGCAAUGAUGUUGAUUUAUGGAUUAUCUUUGUGAACAUGUGGUAUCUUUAUUUCUCUUUUGAACGUUUGAUAUUUUCUCUGCUCUCUUUCUGGUAAACAGUACUGCAGACUUCUUGGUUGAUUAAUCCUUCUUUCUGCAAAUGACUUUGGCCCCUGUUAUGGUCUGCUUUCAGUAUACGAGUCACAUUGUAAUUUGUGUACCUGGUGAUGUGAUACGGUCUUGUUGAUUCAUUUCUCAAUAUGUUUCCCAAACGUUGCUUGUUGUAAAAAAUUUCAAAUAUUAAAUUCCAUCGACCUUAGUUUUU